rnacentral:tRNA from 1 species
UAAGGGGUAGCACAAGGGGAGUGCGAAGAGUUUUGAUCUCUUAGGUGUGGGUUCGAUUCCCACUUCUUUAG